rnacentral:rRNA from 1 species
AGAGUUUGAUCCUGGCUCAGGACGAACGCUGGCGGCAUGCUUAACACAUGCAAGUCGAACGAGAAUCUGCGGAUCGAGGAUUCGUCCAAGUGAAGCAGAGGACAGUGGCGGACGGGUGAGUAACGCGUGAGGAACCUGCCUUUCAGAGGGGGACAACAGUUGGAAACGACUGCUAAUACCGCAUAACGCGUAGAGGUCGCAUGGCCUUUACGCCAAAGAUUUAUCGCUGAAAGAUGGCCUCGCGUCUGAUUAGCUAGUUGGUGAGGUAACGGCCCACCAAGGCGACGAUCAGUAGCCGGACUGAGAGGUUGAACGGCCACAUUGGGACUGAGAUACGGCCCAGACUCCUACGGGAGGCAGCAGUGGGGAAUAUUGGGCAAUGGGCGCAAGCCUGACCCAGCAAUGCCGCGUGAAGGAAGAAGGCUUUCGGGUUGUAAACUUCUUUUGUCAGGGACGAGUAGAAGACGGUACCUGACGAAUAAGCCACGGCUAACUACGUGCCAGCAGCCGCGGU